UACGUAGGGUGCAGGCGUUAAUCGGAAUUACUGGGCGUAAAGCGUGCGCAGGCGGUUUCUUAAGUCAGAUGUGAAAUCCCCGGGCUCAACCUGGGAAUUGCAUUCGAGACUGCAAGGCUUGGGUGCGGAAGAGGGAAGCGGAAUUUCCGGUGUAGCGGUGAAAUGCGUAGAUAUCGGAAGGAACAUCAGUGGCGAAAGCGGCUUCCUGGUCCAGCACCGACGUUCAGGCACGAAAGCGUGGGGAGCAAACAGG
rnacentral:rRNA from 1 species